rnacentral:lncRNA from 1 species
GCAUCUAAGAACCACAGGAAGUAGGGCUUCCAAGAAGGGACUUCUGGUCUACCCUAGCACGUGGCGUCCCCCAGCAAGGGCCUGGACCAGCCCAGAUCAGGGGAGGAGCUCAAGGCACUGUCAGGGAAGUGGGUCAACCAUGGAGACAGGGCAUUGAGAAGGUGCCAACACCUGUAUCAAAACUCUUCUGGAGGUUAUUAGUGCAUUUCUUUGUUCACCUUUGGACAUGCAGGAUGGCCAGACACCCGAUGUGUGGCUUGUGGACCCCAGCAAACCACAAUGCAAGAUUCUCCAAACCCCUAUUGCCACCAACUGAGUAAAUACGCUUGGCACAAAAUGGGCUACUGUCUUCCUGGUGCUUUGACACGGCCCCGAAGUUAUGUAAGAUGAGUUAACCUGCAGCGCUGCCACAUGUUCUUGUGAGAAGUUAAACAAGGAGAGGAAAACAGGAGGGAGGAAGCGGUAACUUACCAACUUCCUCCCGUCCGAAGUCCUUGAUUCCAACUCUUUCCUUCGAAGAACAGACUUUGUGAUAACCUUUACUCUUGAUUGCUACGUGACAGCAGUGGCGGGGUGGGGGGUUGUAAAUGGCACAGCGGCGGGUGCGGCGAAAUUCGGGGUGCGGCCCUAAGCCACACGACUUUCCGCUGCAUCGAGAGGGUUGUGCAUGUGCUCAGCUGAGCCUCGGUGCUUGGAGCAAGCGUGUGCAACCCCAAGGCCCCCGACCGCGACUCGCUGCUAACAUUCUGGCUUCACCGAAAGCCAGUGAGUGGUUAAACACUGACUUCUGACCCCUGCUCCUCCGGCGAUCUGUCUUGCCCCUCGCAUUCCUGCGGGUCCCGGGCUGGGGGACGCUGCCUACGUGCGGCGGCUGCCCUUGCGCGGCCGAAACGCCGGCUGCUUCCUGGAACGCGGUGCAGAUAAGAAGCCGCUGCCGGGCUCGGGUUUCAGAAGCGCGCCACCGCGGGUUACAAAACCCUGUGUCAUAAUUUCACUUCGGAUUUUUUUUUUUUUCUUUCCUAGUGCUGGCUUCCCGCAGAAGGACGUUUUGUGUGUUAGGUCCAUGUGUGCGUGUGUAUUUCCUUUUGGUAAUUAUUUUGGAAAACGUUCAGAGGCUAAAAAUAGAGAAGCCAGAAGCCUCCUUGCUGCGCGACUCGCGGCCCCAAGCUCUCCAGCGCACAGGGUCCUGCUGAGACACAGCGACGACCACCGUGUGUCCCCGAGUGCCCGAGCCCCGUGCCGGGCCUGGCCGCUGAGGACGCGCUCCCCGCCACCGGCUCAUUUUCUCGGUUCUAAAACCUUCAAUGCCCGUCGCUAGCAACUUAAUCUGCGCUCUAACUCGCAGAAUUCUUUUGACCUGUUGGAGAAAAAUAGCAUUUUAAGAUGUGGGUUAUUCAAGAGGGUGGAGUCGGCUAAGUUUAGUGGACGCUAAAAAUAGCCCAGCGGUGCGGGCGGGUCAGGCCUGGGGGCGCCAGGACCUCCGCCCUCACCCUGCCCCCUACGGGCCUACGAGCCGCAGCCCUCCCAGGGCCUGUGCGUAAUUCUAGCCAAGGCCCAGUGUCAUUUCCAAGAGGUGCCUCUCGGCCGGGUUACUCAUAUGUCAGAUUCCCAUUCUCACGUUGUGUUUCACGCAGCAACUGCAUUUCCAAAGAAAAGCGUGAGUCACUACCAAGUGGCUGCAGAGGGAGGGGAGGGCCACCAUACACCGGAAGAAAGGGGGGGGGGGAAGGGGCCUUUUUAUAGCGUUCUGAGCUGGCUUUCUUUUCCAUAGGUUAAUUUUUAUCUUAACUACCAAACUUAGGCUGGAUCGCCUUUUUAUAAGAAAUCUAUUUAAAUACAAGGGAUUAUUUGAACUUCUUUUUAAAAAGCCAAGGGCAUUUUUUGUGUGGUUCUCAGCUUAUAAAUAAAAUAUAUUAAUAGUUGUUUAAUGGGCAUUUAAAAUGCCAACUGCCUGUGACUG